AGCGAACGCUGGCGGCAGGCCUAACACAUGCAAGUCGAACGAACUCUUCGGAGUUAGUGGCGGACGGGUGAGUAACACGUGGGAACGUGCCCUUUGGUACGGAAUAACUCAGGGAAACUUGAGCUAAUACCGUAUGUGCCCUUCGGGGGAAAGAUUUAUCGCCAUUGGAGCGGCCCGCGUCUGAUUAGCUAGUUGGUGAGGUAAAGGCUCACCAAGGCUACGAUCAGUAGCUGGUCUGAGAGGAUGAUCAGCCACAUUGGGACUGAGACACGGCCCAAACUCCUACGGGAGGCAGCAGUAGGGAAUCUUGCGCAAUGGGCGAAAGCCUGACGCAGCCAUGCCGCGUGAAUGAUGAAGGUCUUAGGAUUGUAAAAUUCUUUCACCGGGGACGAUAAUGACGGUACCCGGAGAAGAAGCCCCGGCUAACUUCGUG
rnacentral:rRNA from 1 species